rnacentral:rRNA from 1 species
UACGAAGGGGGCUAGCGUUGCUCGGAAUCACUGGGCGUAAAGGGUGCGUAGGCGGGUCUUUAAGUCAGGGGUGAAAUCCUGGAGCUCAACUCCAGAACUGCCUUUGAUACUGAGGAUCUUGAGUUCGGGAGAGGUGAGUGGAACUGCGAGUGUAGAGGUGAAAUUUCGUAGAUAUUCGCAAGAACACCAGUGGCGAAGGCGGCUCACUGGCCCGAUACUGACGCUGAGGCACGAAAGCGUGGGGAGCAAACAGG